rnacentral:rRNA from 1 species
UACGUAGGUGCGAGCGUUGUCCGGAUUCAUUGGGCGUAAAGAGCUCGUAGGCGGCUUAGUAAAGUCCAGGGUGUGAAACCUCCAGGCUCAACCUGGAGACGCCACUUGAUACUGCUAUGGCUUGAGUUCGGUAGGGGACCAUGGAAUUCCUGGUGUAGCGGUGAAAUGCGCAGAUAUCAGGAAGAACACCCGUGGCGAAGGCGGUUCUCUGGGACGGUACUGACGCUGGAGACGCGAAAGCGUGGGAGCGAACAGG